CUUCACGAGUAUAAAAAUAAAAAUGAAAAUCUUUUCUUACUGAAACCUCUUGAGAUUCAAUACUUCAAUCCUGUUAGAAAACAUACUUCUUACAACUUUCUACCACUCAUGUAGUAGCUUUUUUUCAGAUUAAAAACAUUUCAAACUUUCUGUCAUGAAACCUACAUAAAGCACUGUAAUCUUCUUUGACGAAAAAUCAUGCUUUUCAAUUUAAUUUCCAGUUUUGUAUUUUUGCCAGAUUGGAGGGGCAAGAAAAAGUGCACUCAUCCUUCUAAGAAACAGAAAACAAUGCAAAGAUCACAACGGAAGUUUUCCACAAACAGUGAUAGAAUAUGAGCGAGGAGCAGUUCAAAAGAAAAGCUCGGAUACAUGGCAGGAACAAAGUAGGGGCAAAUUCACAAAAGACAUACAAUGUUCACGUCGGAAAAUCGGAUUAUUACCUUGACUGAACAGAUGCUACACCCCCAGCGUCCCGUUGCCUUGGUUGAUUUGGUUUUGGCUUUUAUUAAUAUUAUUGUUUCUUAAUAGUUGAUUUGGCUGAUGUGGUUUGGCUUGGUUUUCGCUUGUGUUGUUGUUGUCGCCUUUUCUUUUUCUUUCUUUUUGGUCGAUUUAUUUAACUGCUAGCGAAAAGACCUUUCUGCAGCUGCGGCUGGUGCGGCGCCUGCGGCUGGUGCGGAUCGCGGCUGCCUCGCCCGGCGCCCGGGAGCCUCCAGCCGACCUGGGGACAGGGCGCCUCCGCCGCCCCGCAGUCGGGCUGUCAAUCGGGCCGCUCGAGCGGAAUUCUGGCUUUCCGCACUCUGCUCUCGCCGGCUGUCAGUCCUUCCGUCAGUCCGUCCGCCCCUCAGAGUUCCGCGGUCCACUCAGCUACGCGGGUCCUUCUUCCCGUCUUCGGUGCCCGCAGCGCUCCUGCUCUGUGCCCUGGACACUUCCCUGGGUCAGAGGAGGACGCCUGGAGGGAGGGCGCACCUCUCUCUCUCUCUCUCUCUCUCUCUCUCUCUCUCUCUCUCUCUUUCUCUCUCUCUCCCCCCUGCUUCCUGUCCUCUCCCAGGAGGCCGGGUAGGGCAGUCUGCUUGCUCCCACCUGUCCCUCUUUCUGCUCUCCGGGUGCCACCCAGAAUUAGCCAGCCUGGAUCCUGGAUCUGCCCCUGGGGACCACGCUGCCUGCCGAGCGCCUUGGGCGUCCACCCUUCCGCAGAUAGUUGUUGUUACCAUUUAAACAUGAGUUGUCCCUCAAAGACUCAUGCGUUGGAAACUUGAUAAUUAAUACACCAUUUUCAAAGGUGGACUUGGAGAGAUGGUUGGUUGCAUCAUGUGGAUGGUAACCUCAUUAAGAGAUUAAUCUGCGGGCCGUGACCCCACACAUGAGUUGAAUUCCUGUGCAUGGGGAAAACGUGGAACUUUGCUCCCUGGUGGUAACACCGCACCUUGCAUCUGAAAUCACCCUAAGACACAUGGAGGUAUAGGCAGGCCUAACCAGGCCAUAUCCAGCCAACUCCAAGCAACAAGCAGGGCCUGGAAUCCAGUCCUGAGCCCUGACCACGCACUAGGGUUGAAUUCUAGUGUACAAAGAAGCCUUAGAACUUUGCUCCCAGGGUAGACCAUGCCCUGUGUCUGAAAUCACCAGAGGACACACGGAGUCCCUGCAGGCCCAACUGGCCCACACCCAGUGAGCUCCACAUGGCAAGAAGUUACCAUUUACCAGCACUCUGCUCCAGAAGCCAAAAGUGGGUCAGGUGAUUCCCAGUGCACAGAGGAAGCUUUGAAACAUUGUUCAAAACCUGGAAAUAAGCAUGACUCCAGCCAACACUGAGAAAUGCCAUGCAGCUGUGGGCCUUUGGCCUGUGCACCGUGAGCUUCCUUCAUGACCCCCACCGGUCCUGGGAAACAUGUGCUGUCCUCAGACCUUUGCCCGCACAGCCACCUACUUCCUGCACAACUCCAUUCAGCACUGAGGAACGCCACACCAUCCUGGGGCCUUGGCCCAUUCCCAGUGGAUGCCCAGACCCAGGACAUCUGCUGGCCGAGGGGGCACUUCCUAUCUCUUGGACCUAAUACUGCUGUUGAUCUUCA
ensembl:lincRNA